CGACAAUAAAUUCAUCACGCCCCAAGACACCUGUGUGAUGUCUAUCAACGAGAUCGUAAAUUUUGGCUAAAACACUCGUUGGAGCACCACUACGAGACCAGAGUUCGCGGACAACAAUAUUGCAAAUCAAAUCAUUCGGUUUGGAAUAUUCUGAUUUGCUCAGUAAAUAACCUUUAUUAGCAGCCCACAACCCUUCAUAGAGCUUUCUACGAUUUUCAUCAAUAAAGAACUGCGGGAGAUCAACAGUUUCGGAUUUACGCAAAUUGGUUCCACUCUUGUAUUUUCCGUCAUCACGAUGGUAAAAAUGUUUAUGCUUUUUCUGAGGAACUCGCAAUGUAUGAGGUGAAGGUUUGGCAAUUGAUUGCUUCGUUUUUAAAGGAGGUGGGUUUUCAUGAACAGCUGGAAAGAUUUUGUCUGCUUUCAUAGCUGCGCGUACUGCUGACGAUGAGCCUGAAACAUCACUUGAAGAGGCAAGCAGUUGUGGAGAUGGAGAAUACUCAGAACCCAAUACAUCACGCAACUUAAAUUUCAAUACUUUUGUGGGAACAGCUGAAAAGCUUAAAACCGAACUUUGCGAAUCUUUGAGAGAGUUCUCGUCAUCGGACAUAUCACUAUCAGUAUACUGACCUGAGCCAUCAAGUAUUCCAUCACUGUAAUCGUAUUUUGAACCGUUAACUUCAUCCAUGCUGCUACGAUUAGCACCAUGUGGUACAUCUAAAGGAGCGUUUGAAGAUCCAAGGUCUUCUUUAUCUGAAGGAGCAUCAUAAAAAACAUCUCCUUCAACUUCAGAUUCUCCUCGAAUUUGACCAAGUGAAACUGAAUGACGAUGAGGAAGUGAAACUUUUGGCAGCACAGGAGCCAGGACUUGAGGGGUAGGUGCGUGAAUGAGUUUAUCCUUAUUUGCAACUAGAGUGGCAGCACUCAAAGACGCAUCAUGGGCCUUGGACGAAGAAUACGACGUUUCUUCUAUGGAGGGUGUAAGUUUUUCGGAAGCAGCCGUAAUGGCUGCAGCAUGAGCAGCUAUUUUCCUAUGAUGGAUGUCAGAAAAAGAAUUAUGCGAAGGAAUGUGCAAUGAUGACGACGACCAUUCCGUUUUAUUAGAAGGAAUUCGUUUAUGAGCAGACCCAAGCAAGUGAUCAAGGGCCUGAUCAUUAGAAAAAGAAGGUGCUUUUUCUUUAUUUUUCUGACCAGUUGCAACAAUAUGAGCGGCCAUUGUAGGAAUAUCAUCAGUUUCAUUUAUAGAGGAAUGAAUAUGCUUUUGGUUAGCAUUAGUUAAUAACGAUUUAAUAGAACGGGUAGAAGAUGCAGAUGAAUGGGACAAUUUCUUCUUCAUAGGCAA